UGUUUCACUCUUUUCCCAGUCCUUCAAUAAAUAGUAAUAAAAGCACUGUUGUUUUAAUUCGUCUAUGUUGGAGUUUUCAAUAAUCAUAAACAACGAUUGCAGGUCAUCGAUGCUCUUUGGGGGAUACAAGGAAGAAGGAUCCUCGAUACCCUCUAUAAAUGAUAAAAGAACGUCAAAAAAAAGCUGUGAAUCUACUUGCUGUUUACGAAAAGUUUGAAUCUCAUUAGUGACUUGGGAAUUGUAAGGAAAGUCCUCAUCCUUCAUGCUAA